GUUUGAAUUUGUCUAUAAGAUCUCAUGUUUUGGAAACUUAAUCUCCUAACUUGUAUGUUUAUGGUAUUUGGGGGUACGACCUUUAGAAGAUAAUUAGAAUUAGAUAAGGUCAUCGUGUUGCGGCCCUCAUGAUUGAACUGGUGGCUUUAUAAGAAGAAAAGAAAGGGGAAUGGCCAAGAUGGCUGAGUAGAAACAGCGCCUAUCUGCAGCUCCCACUGAGACGAACAAAAAGGAUUUUUUGGGAGGUAUCUUGCGUCUGUUGAGAGAUGGCUUCAGGAGGAAGCUAUAUAUGUAUAUGACUUUAAGGAAGAAAUUAGUUGGAAUGCAGGUAUCUAAAAUCUACCUUCUUCUUGGGAAGGCCGACUCUUCAGGUCUUUAACUUGGAUGAUAUAAGUGACCUCCAGGAAAAGUUAGUGCCCUUCACCCUCCUUCCCCAUGGCCCCCACAGCCUAGAGCCCAGGGCCUAGUAUUCACAGAGGCUUAGUGAAGAUUCUGGCAAAAGCUGAAGGAGCUGCAAGCUGUUCAACACCACCAAGUUGAGACAGUGGAGCAACAACAAAAUGCUCUGAUGGAAGCCUUGCUGAACAUGAACUAAGAUGCAUUGGACCCUGACUGCUGACAAACAUCCUCCAACCCUGAGAACAUCAGCCCUAAGUUGAAGCCACCAUUUAUGGACUGAAGGAUAGAAAAGAGACACAUUAGUAGGAGCAACCCUUCUUCUCCUACCUGAGAAUAUUAGAUUCUCUCCUGCCUCUACUGAUGUAUUUACAAGGGACUGAUUAUCCUCAUCAGGAGCUUCUCCCAAAUACCUGCCAUCGCUUCUAGACCUAUUACUAAACUGAAGUUGCAGGCUCCAGAGAGCAAGUCUACAGGAUAUCAGAAUUCUAAGAAAAACUUGGAAAUCAUGUUCAGGACUAUACAGGACUUUAAAAGCUUUAUCUUCCCAAACUGAAAACCAGACCUCUCAAGUCUAGCUGCUCUCCUCCAGGUGCUGCAUAAAUGGACCUGGUCUUUGGCUACCUUACUUUGGAUCACUUGGUUGAAACAGUUCCCUUAGUCAACUUGUCCACUGGACUUAAGCUGUGGGACACAGAAAUUUUCCCUGGAAGAACAGAACAAUGAAGAUGAAUAGUUGAAAAAUGAGAGAAUCCUGCAUUCUAAAGGAUCUAGUCUGGAUGCCAGGAGCUGUGUAUAGGAUGAGAGCCUGGUGGACCUGAUUGACCGCCUGUUGUUCAGUUCAGUUCAGAGACUGAAAAUCAGGAUUUGUGCUGGAGAGUCUUUGAACUGUGUGUGAAAGUAUCUGAAGGUCCAUGACAAUUUGAAAGAAGGCAUAUGAAAAAGGUGCAGGAAUCGAAGGCACGAGAUACACCUGAAAGUGGUGGAGCAAUGAAUCUGAACAGGAUGAUGGAUUGAAAGUGCUCAAAAGAGGCAGCUAGGAUCCUGUAUUCAUGUCCUACCACUGCAGCCAGGGAAAGAUCCUCCCACAUCUAUCAGAAGACUGGAGGAUUAUGUCUGGAGAGAUUGAAUUCUAGGGAUGCUCAGGCCCAAAUGAAGGUUUGAGCACACAAUGAAAUGAGUUGAUAUUGACUGUUGGGAACCAGAGUUCUCAGUGGAUGAAGAGACACAGAAAAAUAAAAUGAAGGAAGGCAAAGAAGAUCUCUGAAGAGAUGGAUUGGAAUUGGAAGCAUUAGUAUGAACCAUGAUUCUAAAAUAGUUAUAUAUUGAUGUCUAUGCUUGUAUAUAUCCAGAAGUUUAUGUAUGUAUGUUUAAAUGUGUGUGUAAUAUAUAUGUAUACAUAUAUGUACACAUGUAUAUAUUUCCUAGCUUUGUCUACUGAAAGGGUCCACAAGCAAAAUCUUGUAGCGGAUCUUGGUCUCUAAGAUUGUUCCCUGUUAAAAAAAAAACAGGAUCCGUUGGAGAAAUUGCUGAUUCCAGUGCUGUAGCAGAAAAGGUAAUACAUGAUCCUAAAAUCAGUAGUCUCAUUCUGUUAGAUUACUGUGGGGUUCAGUAUGGUAGCCACUAGUCUCUUGUGCUAUUUAUUUAUUUAUUUUUAUUAUUAUGCUUUAAGUUCUAGGGUACAUGUGUACAGCAUGCAGGUUUGUUGCAUAUGUAUACAUCUGCCAUGUUGGUGUGCUGCACCCAUUAACUGGCAAUUUACAUUAGGUAAAUCUCCUAAUGCUAUCCCUGCUCCCUCCCCCAACCCCAUGUCAGGCCCCAGUAUGUGAUGAUCCUCAUCCUGUGUCCAAGUGUUUUCAUUGUUCAGUUCCCACCUGUGAGUGAGAACAUGCAGUGUUUGGUUUUCUAUCCUUGCGAUAGUUUGCUCAGAAUGAUGGUUUCUAAUUUCAUCCAUGUCCCUACAAAGGACAUGAACUCAUCCUUUUUUAUGGCUGCAUAGUAUUCCACGGUGUAUAUGUGCCACAUUUUC
rnacentral:lncRNA from 10 species